rnacentral:rRNA from 1 species
AUAAGCCUACGGGACGCAGCAGUAGGGAAUCUUCCACAAUGGACGAAAGUCUGAUGGAGCAACGCCGCGUGAGUGAAGAAGGGGUUCGGCUCGUAAAGCUCUGUUGGUAGUGAAGAAAGAUAGAGGUAGUAACUGGCCUUUAUUUUACGGUAAUUACUUAGAAAGUCACGGCUAACUACGUGCCAGCAGCCGCGGUAAUACGUAGGUGGCAAGCGUUGUCCGGAUUUAUUGGGCGUAAAGCGAGUGCAGGCGGUUCAAUAAGUCU